UAGCCUAGUGUAUAAGGCUAUGGAUUGCCAAUCCGGAGAUGGCGGGUUCGAUUCCCGU
rfam:Aedes albopictus isolate Foshan contig51054, whole genome shotgun sequence.